rnacentral:rRNA from 1 species
AUUGAACGCUGGCGGCAGGCCUAACACAUGCAAGUCGAACGGUAACAGGAAGAAGCUUGCUUCUUUGCUGACGAGUGGCGGACGGGUGAGUAAUGUCUGGGAAACUGCCUGAUGGAGGGGGAUAACUACUGGAAACGGUAGCUAAUACCGCAUAACGUCGCAAGACCAAAGAGGGGGACCUUCGGGCCUCUUGCCAUCGGAUGUGCCCAGAUGGGAUUAGCUUGUUGGUGGGGUAACGGCUCACCAAGGCGACGAUCCCUAGCUGGUCUGAGAGGAUGACCAGCCACACUGGAACUGAGACACGGUCCAGACUCCUACGGGAGGCAGCAGUGGGGAAUAUUGCACAAUGGGCGCAAGCCUGAUGCAGCCAUGCCGCGUGUAUGAAGAAGGCCUUCGGGUUGUAAAGUACUUUCAGCGGGGAGGAAGGGAGUAAAGUUAAUACCUUUGCUCAUUGACGUUACCCGCAGAAGAAGCACCGGCUAACUCCGUGCCAGCAGCCGCGGUAAUACGGAGGGUGCAAGCGUUAAUCGGAAUUACUGGGCGUAAAGCGCACGCAGGCGGUUUGUUAAGUCAGAUGUGAAAUCCCCGGGCUCAACCUGGGAACUGCAUCUGAUACUGGCAAGCUUGAGUCUCGUAGAGGGGGGUAGAAUUCCAGGUGUAGCGGUGAAAUGCGUAGAGAUCUGGAGGAAUACCGGUGGCGAAGGCGGCCCCCUGGACGAAGACUGACGCUCAGGUGCGAAAGCGUGGGGAGCAAACAGGAUUAGAUACCCUGGUAGUCCACGCCGUAAACGAUGUCGACUUGGAGGUUGUGCCCUUGAGGCGUGGCUUCCGGAGCUAACGCGUUAAGUCGACCGCCUGGGGAGUACGGCCGCAAGGUUAAAACUCAAAUGAAUUGACGGGGGCCCGCACAAGCGGUGGAGCAUGUGGUUUAAUUCGAUGCAACGCGAAGAACCUUACCUGGUCUUGACAUCCACGGAAGUUUUCAGAGAUGAGAAUGUGCCUUCGGGAACCGUGAGACAGGUGCUGCAUGGCUGUCGUCAGCUCGUGUUGUGAAAUGUUGGGUUAAGUCCCGCAACGAGCGCAACCCUUAUCCUUUGUUGCCAGCGGUCCGGCCGGGAACUCAAAGGAGACUGCCAGUGAUAAACUGGAGGAAGGUGGGGAUGACGUCAAGUCAUCAUGGCCCUUACGACCAGGGCUACACAUGUGCUACAAUGGCGCAUACAAAGAGAAGCGACCUCGCGAGAGCAAGCGGACCUCAUAAAGUGCGUCGUAGUCCGGAUUGGAGUCUGCAACUCGACUCCAUGAAGUCGGAAUCGCUAGUAAUCGUGGAUCAGAAUGCCACGGUGAAUACGUUCCCGGGCCUUGUACACACCGCCCGUCACACCAUGGGAGUGGGUUGCAAAAGAAGUAGGUAGCUUAACCUUCGGGAGGGCGCUUACCACUUUGUGAUUCAUGACUGGGGUGA